UACGUAGGUGGCGAGCGUUAUCCGGAAUUAUUGGGCGUAAAGAGCGCGCAGGUGGUUGAUUAAGUCUGAUGUGAAAGCCCACGGCUUAACCGUGGAGGGUCAUUGGAAACUGGUCGACUUUGAGUGCAGAAGAGGGAAGUGGAAUUCCAUGUGUAGCGGUGAAAUGCGUAGAGAUAUGGAGGAACACCAGUGGCGAAGGCGGCUUCCUGGUCUGUAACUGACACUGAGGCGCGAAAGCGUGGGGAGCAAACAGG
rnacentral:rRNA from 1 species